rnacentral:rRNA from 1 species
CCUACGGGAGGCAGCAGUGAGGAAUAUUGGUCAAUGGGCGCAAGCCUGAACCAGCCAAGUCGCGUGAGGGAUGACGGUCCUAUGGAUUGUAAACCUCUUUUGUCGGGGAGCAAGGCGCGCCACGUGUGGAGGGAAGGAGAUUACCCUAAGAAAAAGCAUCGGCUAAUUCCGUGCCAGCAGCGGCGGUAAUACGGAGGAUGCGGACGUUACCCGGAUUUAUUGGGUUAAAAGGGUGCGUAGGCGGAAGGUUAAGUCAGCGGUAAAAUGUCGGUGCUCAACACCGGCCUGCCGUUGAAACUGGUCUUCUUGAGUGAGCGAGAAGUAUGCGGAAUGCGUGGUGUAGCGGUGAAAUGCAUAGAUAUCACGCAGAACUCCGAUUGCGAAGGCAGCAUACCGGCGCUCAACUGACGCUGAGGCACGAAAGCGUGGGGAUCGAACAGGAUUAGAUACCCUUGUAGUC